rnacentral:rRNA from 1 species
GACGAACGCUGGCGGCGUGCUUAACACAUGCAAGUCGAACGGAAAGGCCCUGCUUUUGUGGGGUGCUCGAGUGGCGAACGGGUGAGUAACACGUGAGUAACCUGCCCUUGACUUUGGGAUAACUUCAGGAAACUGGGGCUAAUACCGGAUAGGAGCUCCUGCUGCAUGGUGGGGGUUGGAAAGUUUCGGCGGUUGGGGAUGGACUCGCGGCUUAUCAGCUUGUUGGUGGGGUAGUGGCUUACCAAGGCUUUGACGGGUAGCCGGCCUGAGAGGGUGACCGGCCACAUUGGGACGGAGAUACGGCCCAGACUCCUACGGGAGGCAGCAGUGGAGAAUAUUGCACAAUGGGCGGAAGCCUGAUGCAGCAACGCCGCGUGCGGGAUGACGGCCUUCGGUUUGUAAACCGCUUUCGCCUGUGACGAAGCGUGAGUGACGGUAAUGGGUAAAGAAGCACCGGCUAACUACGUG